rnacentral:rRNA from 1 species
UACGGGGGGGGCAAGCGUUGUUCGGAAUUACUGGGCGUAAAGGGCGCGUAGGCGGCCUGCUAAGUCACACGUGAAAUCCCUCGGCUCAACCGGGGAACUGCGUGUGAUACUGGCGGGCUUGAAUUCGGGAGAGGGAUGUGGAAUUCCAGGUGUAGCGGUGAAAUGCGUAGAUAUCAGGAGGAAUACCGAUGGCGAAGGCAGGUCUCUGGGCUGACACUGACGCUCAUGCACGAAAGCGUGGGGAGCAAACAGG